GAACACCAACCCCGCCGCCUUCUCCCACUUUGAAGGAUCCAUGGAGGGAAAUAGCCUGGGGAGACAAAGCGACAGAUCUCCAGUAUGUGCAGGAUUAUGAGCCUGGAAACGAUGACAUCAAACAUCUCCGAAUCCUUCUGUACGGACCAGUCGGAGUUGGAAAGUCCAGCUUCAUCAACUCUGUCAGCAACGUCCUACGAGGCAGAAUGAGUACUCCUGCUUUGACCAGUGCAAUGACCUCUGACAGAAGUUUCACC